rnacentral:rRNA from 1 species
UGGGGAAUUUUGGACAAUGGGCGCAAGCCUGAUCCAGCCAUGCCGCGUGCGGGAAGAAGGCCUUCGGGUUGUAAACCGCUUUUGUCAGGGAAGAAAUCUUCUGAGUUAAUACCUCGGGAGGAUGACGGUACCUGAAGAAUAAGCACCGGCUAACUACGUGCCAGCAGCCGCGGUAAUACGUAGGGUGCAAGCGUUAAUCGGAAUUACUGGGCGUAAAGCGUGCGCAGGCGGUUUUGUAAGACAGAGGUGAAAUCCUCGGGCUCAACCUGGGAACUGCCUUUGUGACUGCAAGGCUUGAGUGCGGCAGAGGGGGAUGGAAUUCCGCGUGUAGCAGUGAAAUGCGUAGAUAUGCGGAGGAACACCGAUGGCGAAGGCAAAUCCCCUGGGCCUGCACUGACGCUCAUGCACGAAAAGCGUGGGGAGCAAAACAGGAUUAGAUACCCUGGUAGUCCACGCCCUAAAACGAUGUCAACUGGUUGUUGGGAAGGUUCCUUCUCAGUAACGUAGCUAACGCGUGAAGUUGACCGCCUGGGGAGUACGGCCGCAAGGUUGAAACUUAAAUGAAUUGACGGGGUCAUAGCUG